CCCUUAGAUGUCCGGGGCUGCACGCGCGCUACACUGAAUGAAUCAGCGUGCUAGAAAACCUUGUUUGACAUGGCUAGGUAACCCAUUGAAAAUCAUUCGUGAUUGGGAUCGGGACUUGCAAAUGUGUCCCUUGAACGAGGAAUUCCCAGUAAGUGCGGGUCAUCAGCUCGCGUUGAUUACGUCCCUGCCCUUUGUACACACCGCCCGUCGCUGCCCGGAACUGAGCCGUUUCGAGAAGACUAAGGAUUGCUGACUUGAGGCCUUCACGGGCUUCUAGUCGGUGAAAAUCAAUUUAAUCGCAGCGGCUUGAACCGGGCAAAAGUCGUAACA
rnacentral:rRNA from 1 species